UUAACUUAUUAUAUAUUACUCAGACGACAAUAUUCAGAGUUUGGGGGUCUCUGGCGGGCGCGAGCCAGCUUACGCCGGCAGCCGUGAGGCAGGCCCGCCAAAGCAACAAAGUAUAAUAAACAAAGGGUGGGAGAUCUACCCCGAAGGGCAAGUUCUCUUUAGUGAUCCUUCCGCAGGUUCACCUACGGAAA
rnacentral:misc_RNA from 1 species